CCUACGGGAGGCUGCAGUGAGGAAUAUUGGUCAAUGGACGAGAGUCUGAACCAGCCAAGUAGCGUGAAGGAUGACUGCCCUAUGGGUUGUAAACUUCUUUUAUAAAGGAAUAAAACGAGGCACGUGUGCCUUUUUGCAUGUACUUUAUGAAUAAGGAUCGGCUAACUCCGUGCCAGCAGCCGCGGUAAUACGGAGGAUCCGAGCGUUAUCCGGAUUUAUUGGGUUUAAAGGGAGCGUAGAUGGGUUGUUAAGUCAGUUGUGAAAGUUUGCGGCUCAACCGUAAGAUUGCAAUUGAUACUGGCAGACUUGAGUACAGUUGAGGUAGGCGGAAUUCGUGGUGGAGCGGUGAAAUGCUUAGAUAUCACGAAGAACCCCGAUUGCGAAGGCAGCUUACUAAGCUGUGACUGACAUUGAUGCUCGAAAGUGUAGGUAUCAAACAGGAUUAGAUACCCUUGUAGUC
rnacentral:rRNA from 1 species